rnacentral:rRNA from 1 species
CGACCGGCGCACGGGUGAGUAACACGUAUCCAACCUGCCGUCUACUCUUGGCCAGCCUUCUGAAAGGAAGAUUAAUCCAGGAUGGGAUCAUGAGUUCACAUGUCCGCAUGAUUAAAGGUAUUUUCCGGUAGACGAUGGGGAUGCGUUCCAUUAGAUAGUAGGCGGGGUAACGGCCCACCUAGUCAACGAUGGAUAGGGGUUCUGAGGGGAAGGUCCCCCACAUUGGAACUGAGACACGGUCCAA